rnacentral:ncRNA from 1 species
CUGAGCCGUGUGCGGUGAAAGUCGCACGCACGGUUCUAAGGGGGGAGGGGUUCCGGUAACGGGCCCUUCCUACCCAAC